rnacentral:rRNA from 1 species
UACGUAGGUGGCAAGCGUUGUCCGGAUUUACUGGGCGUAAAGGGCGUGCAGGCGGUCUGUUAAGUCUAGGGUGAAAGCUCCCGGCUCAACUGGGAGGGUCAUUCGAUACUGAUCGACUCGAAGGCAGGAGAGGGUAGUGGAAUUCCCGGUGUAGUGGUGAAAUGCGUAGAUAUCGGGAGGAACACCAGUGGCGAAGGCGACUACCUGGCCUGUUCUUGACGCUGAGGCGCGAAAGCUAGGGGAGCAAACGGG